GCGAGGAAUCUUGGGCAAUGGGCGAAAGCCUGACCCAGCGACGCCGCGUGAGGGACGAAGGCCUUCGGGUCGUAAACCUCUUUUGUGAGGGAAGAAGUUCUGACGGUACCUCACGAAUAAGCCACGGCUAACUACGUGCCAGCAGCCGCGGUAAUACGUAGGUGGCGAGCGUUGUCCGGAUUUACUGGGCGUAAAGGGCUUGUAGGCGGUUCGUUAAGUCCGGUGUGAAAUCUCCCGGCCCAACUGGGAGGGGCCAUCGGAUACUGGCGAACUGGAGGCGGGCAGAGGAAAGCAGAAUUCCCGGUGUAGCGGUGAAAUGCGUAGAUAUCGGGAGGAAUACCAGUGGCGAAGGCGGCUUUCUGGGCCUGUCCUGACGCUGAGGAGCGAAAGCGUGGGGAGCAAACCGGAUUAGAAACCCGAGUAGUCC
rnacentral:rRNA from 1 species